AACAACAUGACAUGAUUGCACCCAUUCCUCCAAAUCAGGUGGACCGACGUGCGAGAAGCUUUGACUUAUCUAAAAGGUGUGAAUACCGCUCCAAUGCCCUGGGGCACAAUGUGAAAAAUUGUCAGGAUUUAAAAGAGUAAAUAGAAAGGAUGAUCCAGGGAAAUUUGAUUCGAAACAGUGGCACCCAGAAUAUCACGCUCCAUCCUUUAUAUGGGAAGACACACUUGGUGAGAAUGAUGCCCGGAGACAUGGGGUGUGAGAAUCCUUUUGGGAACAUGUGGACUGAAGUUGAAGACGCUGAAACAGAUAGUAUUCAUGGAAAUAUGGAUGUGAAUCUUAGUGGCUAAAAUUGCCGUGCUUGGCAAUUGGGAAGACGCUCUUUUUUGGGUCAGCCAAGGAGGAGUCUUGGUGCUCCAUUUUGUUGUCAUUUCUGUGUCCGGGUUACUUGCAGGGUUGAAAUCCGGAUAUUGUCUUGUGAUCAAACCCUCUUAUCCUUUAAUUUUGUCUAGUUUGUUUAGUCGUAAUGAUUUGUUUAGUGUUGUCUAGGUUUGUUUAUUUUCAUUCUAGGGUUGUACUCCAGUCAGUUUGUUUGUUUUGUUUUCAUGCAAAUCCCGAU
rnacentral:lncRNA from 1 species